rnacentral:rRNA from 1 species
GAUGAACGCUGGCGGCGUGCCUAAUACAUGCAAGUCGAGCGAACGGACGAGAAGCUUGCUUCUCUGAUGUUAGCGGCGGACGGGUGAGUAACACGUGGAUAACCUACCUAUAAGACUGGGAUAACUUCGGGAAACCGGAGCUAAUACCGGAUAAUAUUUUGAACCGCAUGGUUCAAAAGUGAAAGACGGUCUUGCCGUCACUUAUAGAUGGAUCCGCGCUGCAUUAGCUAGUUGGUAAGGUAACGGCUUACCAAGGCAACGAUGCAUAGCCGACCUGAGAGGGUGAUCGGCCACACUGGAACUGAGACACGGUCCAGACUCCUACGGGAGGCAGCAGUAGGGAAUCUUCCGCAAUGGGCGAAAGCCUGACGGAGCAACGCCGCGUGAGUGAUGAAGGUCUUCGGAUCGUAAAACUCUGUUAUUAGGGAAGAACAUAUGUGUAAGUAACUGUGCACAUCUUGACGGUACCUAAUCAGAAAGCCACGGCUAACUACGUGCCAGCAGCCGCGGUAAUACGUAGGUGGCAAGCGUUAUCCGGAAUUAUUGGGCGUAAAGCGCGCGUAGGCGGUUUUUUAAGUCUGAUGUGAAAGCCCACGGCUCAACCGUGGAGGGUCAUUGGAAACUGGAAAACUUGAGUGCAGAAGAGGAAAGUGGAAUUCCAUGUGUAGCGGUGAAAUGCGCAGAGAUAUGGAGGAACACCAGUGGCGAAGGCGACUUUCUGGUCUGUAACUGACGCUGAUGUGCGAAAGCGUGGGGAUCAAACAGGAUUAGAUACCCUGGUAGUCCACGCCGUAAACGAUGAGUGCUAAGUGUUAGGGGGUUUCCGCCCCUUAGUGCUGCAGCUAACGCAUUAAGCACUCCGCCUGGGGAGUACGACCGCAAGGUUGAAACUCAAAGGAAUUGACGGGGACCCGCACAAGCGGUGGAGCAUGUGGUUUAAUUCGAAGCAACGCGAAGAACCUUACCAAAUCUUGACAUCCUUUGACAACUCUAGAGAUAGAGCUUUCCCCUUCGGGGGACAAAGUGACAGGUGGUGCAUGGUUGUCGUCAGCUCGUGUCGUGAGAUGUUGGGUUAAGUCCCGCAACGAGCGCAACCCUUAAGCUUAGUUGCCAUCAUUAAGUUGGGCACUCUAAGUUGACUGCCGGUGACAAACCGGAGGAAGGUGGGGAUGACGUCAAAUCAUCAUGCCCCUUAUGAUUUGGGCUACACACGUGCUACAAUGGACAAUACAAAGGGCAGCGAAACCGCGAGGUCAAGCAAAUCCCAUAAAGUUGUUCUCAGUUCGGAUUGUAGUCUGCAACUCGACUACAUGAAGCUGGAAUCGCUAGUAAUCGUAGAUCAGCAUGCUACGGUGAAUCCGUUCCCGGGUCU